rnacentral:rRNA from 1 species
CACGCAGGCGGUCUGUCAAGUCGGAUGUGAAAUCCCCGGGCUCAACCUGGGAACUGCAUCCGAAACUGGCAGGCUAGAGUCUUGUAGAGGGGGGUAGAAUUCCAGGUGUAGCGGUGAAAUGCGUAGAGAUCUGGAGGAAUACCGGUGGCGAAGGCGGCCCCCUGGACAAAGACUGACGCUCAAGUGCGAAAGCGUGGGAGCAAACA